UGUCUAUCAAAUUGUCAUUUUCUAAAGUUAUAUUGUUUAUUUAAGCAUAAAUAUUGCCUACACUCGGAUAAAAGCUAAGUCGGACUAUGAAUGAAAUGAAAGAUUUAUAUAAAAUUUAAGUUUUGAUUCAAAAUAGAAAACUCUAGAAAUAUAUUAAGCAAUACCGAAUUAUUGAUUGCCUUUCGGACCAGUUCGUGAACCUUCUUUUCCUCAUGCAUUAACGCUGACUUUUAUUGAUUGAUUUUAAUUUAAAAAUUAUAAUGAAAUGAUCAAUUCUUCACUUAAUUGUUAGCUACACAAAAUAUAAAAUAAAA